ACCCUUGAGAGUGGCGAACGGGUGAGUAAUAUAUCGGAACGUGCCCAGUCGUGGGGGAUAACGUAGAGAAAUUUACGCUAAUACCGCAUACGAUCUAAGGAUGAAAGCGGGGGACCGUAAGGCCUCGCGCGAUUGGAGCGGCUGAUAUCAGAUUAGCUUGUUGGUGAGGUAAAAGCUCACCAAGGCGACGAUCUGUAGCUGGUUUGAGAGAACGACCAGCCACACUGGGACUGAGACACGGCCCAGACUCCUACGGGAGGCAGCAGUGGGGAAUUUUGGACAAUGGGCGAAAGCCUGAUCCAGCAAUGCCGCGUGUGGGAAGAAGGCCUUCGGGUUGUAAACCACUUUUGUACGGAACGAAAAGGUCUGCUUUAAUAAAGUGGGCUCAUGACGGUACCGUAAGAAUAAGCACCGGCUAACUACGUGCCAGCAGCCGCGGUAAUACGUAGGGUGCGAGCGUUAAUCGGAAUUACUGGGCGUAAAGCGUGCGCAGGCGGUUAUAUAAGACAGUUGUGAAAUCCCCGGGCUCAACCUGGGAAUUGCAUCUGUGACUGUAUAGCUAGAGUACGGUAGAGGGGGAUGGAAUUCCGCGUGUAGCAGUGAAAUGCGUAGAUAUGCGGAGGAACACCGAUGGCGAAGGCAAUCCCCUGGACCUGUACUGACGCUCAUGCAC
rnacentral:rRNA from 1 species